rnacentral:rRNA from 1 species
CCUGGCUCAGGACGAACGCUGGCGGCGUGCCUAAUACAUGCAAGUAGAACGCUGAAGAGAGGAGCUUGCUCUUCUUGGAUGAGUUGCGAACGGGUGAGUAACGCGUAGGUAACCUGCCUGGUAGCGGGGGAUAACUAUUGGAAACGAUAGCUAAUACCGCAUGAAAUUGCUUAUCGCAUGAUAAUUAAUUGAAAGAUGCAAUUGCAUCACUACCAGAUGGACCUGCGUUGUAUUAGCUAGUUGGUGAGGUAACGGCUCACCAAGGCGACGAUACAUAGCCGACCUGAGAGGAUGCUCGACCACGCAGGGACUGAGACACAGCCCAAACUCCUACGG